UACAGAGGGUGCGAGCGUUGUUCGGAUUCAUUGGGCGUAAAGGGUGCGUAGGUGGCGCCGUAAGUCAGGUGUGAAAUUUCGGAGCUUAACUCCGAAACUGCAUUUGAUACUGCGGUGCUUGAGGACUGGAGAGGAGACUGGAAUUUACGGUGUAGCAGUGAAAUGCGUAGAGAUCGUAAGGAAGACCAGUGGCGAAGGCGGGUCUCUGGACAGUUCCUGACACUGAGGCACGAAGGCCAGGGGAGCAAACGGG
rnacentral:rRNA from 1 species